GAUGAAGAACGCAGCGAAACGCGAUAAGUAAUGUGAAUUGCAGAAUCCAGUGAAUCAUCGAAUCUUUGAACGCACAUUGCGCCCGCCAGCAUUCUGGCGGGCAUGCCUGUUCGAGCGUCAUUUCAACCCUCGACCUCCCCUUGGGGAGGUCGGCGUUGGGGACCGGCAGCACACCGCCGGCCCUGAAAUGGAGUGGCGGCCCGUCCGCGGCGACCUCUGCGCAGUAAUACAGCUCGCACCGGGACCCCGACGCGGCCACGCCGUAAAACACCCAACUUCUGAACGUUGACCUCGAAUCAGGUAGGACUACCCGCUGAACUUAAGCUUAUCAAUAAGCGGAGGA
rnacentral:misc_RNA from 1 species